AUUGAACGCUGGCGGCAGGCCUAACACAUGCAAGUCGAACGAGUGGCGGACGGGUGAGUACUGUCUGGGAAACUGCCCGAUGGAGGGGGAUAACUACUGGAAACGGUAGCUAAUACCGCAUACCAUCGGAUGUGCCCAGAUGGGAUUAGCUAGUAGGUGGGGUAACGGCUCACCUAGGCGACGAUCCCUAGCUGGUCUGAGAGGAUGACCAGCCACACUGGAACGGAGACACGGUUCAGACGCCUACGGGAGGCAGCAGUGGGGAAUAUUGGAACAUGGGCGCAAGCCUGAUGAAGCCAAGCCGCGUGGAAGAAGAAGGCCUUCGGGUUGUAAAGUACUUUCAGCGAGGAGGCGUUACUCGCAGAAGAAGCACCGGCUAACUCCGUGCCAGCCGCCGCGGUAAUUC
rnacentral:rRNA from 1 species